UACACGCUGUGACUAGCAUAUCAAUAAGCGGAGGAAAAGAAACUAACAAGGAUUCCCCUAGUAACGGCGAGUGAAGCGGGAAGAGCUCAAAUUUGAAAUCUUAAAGGGUUUCCCUUUACGAAUUGUAGUUUAAAGAAGUGUUUUCUGUUGAGGUUUUGGUAAAAGUUCUUUGGAAUAGGACAUCAUAGAGGGUGAGAAUCCCGUAUUUGACCUUUACUUUCAACUUUGUGAUACACUUUCAAAGAGUCGGAUUGUUUGGGAAUGCAGUCCAAAAUGGGUGGUAAAUUUCAUCUAAAGCUAAAUAUUGGCGAGAGACCGAUAGCGAACAAGUACCGUGAGGGAAAGAUGAAAAGAACUUUGAAAAGAGAGUUAAACAGUACGUGAAAUUGUCAAAAGGGAAGCGUUUGACACCAGUGUUGUUUUUCUGAAAAUCAAUUAAAGAACUGUUUAUGCUAAGUUGUUUAGACUUUAUCAGCUAACUGUUUAGUUUUGAGCUUUUCUUUAAUGCACUUUUCAGUUAACAAGUCAACAUCAAUUUCUUUUGCUGUAAAAAAGCUUGAGGAAGGUGGCUUGAGAUUCGUCUUAAGUGUUUAUAGCCUCUUGCCUAUGCAGUCGGAGAGAUUGAGGUCUGCAGCGUAGAUCCUUCGGGGCUAAAUGCAUUUGUGCUAAGUUAUAGCAUUUCAUAGACAACUUGUUGACUAUGAUUUGUCUUGUAGCUUACUCGCUUAUGUUAUUUUACCUACGCUUAGGAUGUUGACAGCAGUAUAGACUGU
rnacentral:rRNA from 1 species